rnacentral:rRNA from 1 species
AUUGAACGCUGGCGGCAUGCCUAACACAUGCAAGUCGAACGGCAGCGCGGGGCAACCCUUGCGGCGAGUGGCGGACGGGUGAGGAAUGCAUAGGAAUCUGCCCGGUUGUGGGGGAUAACGUAGGGAAACUUACGCCAAUACCCCCUACCGCCUUCCGGUGAAAGGGGGGGACCUUCGGGCCUCACCCCAUCGGCUUAACCUAUGCCCGAUUAGCUAGUUGGCGGGGUAAGAGCCCACCAAGGCGACGAUCGGUAGCUGGUCUGAGAGGAUGAUCAGCCACACUGGGACUGAGACACGGCCCAGACUCCUACGGGAGGCAGCAGUGGGGAAUAUUGGACAAUGGGCGCAAGCCUGAUCCAGCAAUGCCGCGUGUGUGAAGAAGGCCUUCGGGUUGUAAAGCACUUUUGUUCGGGAAGAAAUCCGUGUGGUUAAUACCCGUACGGGAUGACGGUACCGAAAGAAUAAGCACCGGCUAACUUCGUG